AAAUGACCGAUCAGAAAAUCUGUGGGUUGAUGAUUAGAAGUGACUAGCAGCUGUUUGGCCCUGCAGGGGUUUGGGAAGGCAAGGAGGCCAGCUACAGGUGCAAAGCAGCUUCAUCACUGGAGGGACACCAUGCCGAAGGUGGGAAUGGUAAUAAUGAUGAAAUAGACCAGAGAAACAUCCAUUCACUUGGAAAAGCCAGAUUUGGUCCAGAAACGGGAAUGACAAGACGAAGACAGGAAGACAGGAACACUUUUCUCUGCUUUUCCCGUAAUCUCUGCAUGUGUUCGGAGGGCAGUCACUAA
rnacentral:lncRNA from 1 species